rnacentral:rRNA from 1 species
CCUACGGGGGGCUGCAGUAAGGAAUAUUGGUCAAUGGACGGAAGUCUGAACCAGCCAUCCCGCGUGCAGGAAGAAGGUCCUAUGGAUUGUAAACUGCUUUUAGCAGAGACGAACCGCCUUCAUUUAUGGGGGUUUGACGGUAUCUGCGGAAUAAGCACCGGCUAACUCCGUGCCAGCAGCCGCGGUAAUACGGAGGGUGCAAGCAUUAUCCGGAAUCACUGGGUCUAAAGGGUGCGUUUACGUCGGUGUUGAAAGCCUGUAGCUUAACUACAGAAUUGCCAUUGAUACUGAUUGUCUUGAAUUGGGUUGAGGUUAGCGGAAUGUGACAUGUAACGGUGAAAUGUUUAGAUAUGUCAUGGAACACCGAUUGCGAAGGCAGCUAGCUGGGCCUUGAUUGACGCUGAGGCACGAAAGCGUGGGUAGCGAACAGGAUUAGAUACCCUUGUAGUC